GGGGUGGAAUGUGGAUUGUAGGGAAGAGCCUCCAGCUACCUUCUGUUUGAAAGGAUCCAACCUUCUGAGAAAACAAAAAGCCCCUCACUCCGUUGCCAUGGGAACAGCUCAGCCAUGCUGAGGAUGCUCUGCAGGAGGCUUCCUGGAGCAGAGCUGGGGAGAGGGCUUUCUUUCCGGCCCUAGCUAUUGGAAAUAUCACUUUUUCAAUCAAUCGACUGAUGAUAAGAAAUAAGAAUCAGAUCAAGAAGCCCCAUCCAUCGCAUUGUUAAGCCCACCCUGUCCAAUGUCGGGUUUGGAGUGCCCACUCAAAAAACAAACAUCAGAGAACAACUAAACCUAAAC
rnacentral:lncRNA from 1 species